rnacentral:rRNA from 1 species
UCGAGAAUCUUCGGCAAUGGGCGCAAGCCUGACCGAGCGACGCCGCGUGGAGGACGAAGGCCUUCGGGUUGUAAACUCCUGUCGAGGGGGAAGAAGGGGCGAAAGUCCUUGACUGAUCCCUGGAGGAAGCACGGGCUAAGUUCGUGCCAGCAGCCGCGGUAAGACGAACCGUGCGAACGUUAUUCGGAAUCACUGGGCUUAAAGCGCGUGUAGGCGGGUCGGCACGUCGGUCGCUGAAAUCCCCCGGCUCAACCGGGGAAGGGGCGCCGAUACGGCCGGCCUGGAGGGACGUAGGGGGGGCUGGAACUUCCGGUGGAGCGGUGAAAUGCGUUGAGAUCGGAAGGAACGCCCGUGGCGAAAGCGAGCCCCUGGACGUCUACUGACGCUGAGACGCGAAAGCCAGGGGAGCGAACGGGAUUAGAUACCCCCGUAGUCC